ACCUACGGGCGGCUGCAGUGAGGAAUCUUCCACAAUGGGCGAAAGCCUGAUGGAGCAACGCCGCGUGCAGGAUGAAGGCCUUCGGGUUGUAAACUGCUUUUAUGAGUGAAGAAUAUGACGGUAACUCAUGAAUAAGCACCGGCUAACUACGUGCCAGCAGCCGCGGUCAUACGUAGGGUGCAAGCAUUAUCCGGAGUGACUGGGCGUAAAGAGUUGCGUAGGCGGUUAGUAAAGUGAAUAGUGAAACCUGGUGGAUCAACCAUACAGACUAUUAUUCAAACUCACUAACUCGAGAAUGGUAGAGGUAACUGGAAUUUCUUGUGUAGGAGUGAAAUCCGUAGAUAUAAGAAGGAACACCAAUGGCGUAGGCAGGUUACUGGACCAUUUCUGACGCUAAGGCACGAAAGCGUGGGGAGCGAACCGGAUUAGAUACCCGGGUAGUCC
rnacentral:rRNA from 1 species